GUGGCGAACGGGUGAGUAACACGUGAGUAACCUGCCCUUAACUUCGGGAUAAGCCUGGGAAACCGGGUCUAAUACCGGAUACGACGGAUUCCCGCAUGGGGGUCCGUGGAAAGCUUGAUGCGGUUUUGGAUGGACUCGCGGCCUAUCAGCUAGUUGGUUGGGGUAAUGGCCCACCAAGGCGACGACGGGUAGCCGGCCUGAGAGGGUGACCGGCCACACUGGGACUGAGACACGGCCCAGACUCCUACGGGAGGCAGCAGUGGGGAAUAUUGCACAAUGGGCGAAAGCCUGAUGCAGCGACGCCGCGUGAGGGACGAAGGCCUUCGGGUUGUAAACCUCUUUCAGCAGGGAAGAAGCGAAAGUGACGGUACCUGCAGAAGAAGCGCCGGCUAACUACGUGCCAGCAGCCGCGGUAAUACGUAGGGCGCAAGCGUUAUCCGGAAUUAUUGGGCGUAAAGAGCUCGUAGGCGGUUUGUCGCGUCUGCUGUGAAAGCCCGGGGCUCAACCCCGGGUCUGCAGUGGGUACGGGCAGACUAGAGUGCAGUAGGGGAGACUGGAAUUCCUGGUGUAGCGGUGAAAUGCGCAGAUAUCAGGAGGAACACCGAUGGCGAAGGCAGGUCUCUGGGCUGUAACUGACGCUGAGGAGCGAAAGC
rnacentral:rRNA from 1 species